rnacentral:rRNA from 1 species
AUGAACGCUGGCGGCGUGCCUAAUACAUGCAAGUCGAGCGAACGGACGAGAAGCUUGCUUCUCUGAUGUUAGCGGCGGACGGGUGAGUAACACGUGGAUAACCUACCUAUAAGACUGGGAUAACUUCGGGAAACCGUAGCUAAUACCGGAUAAUAUUUUGAACCGCACGGUUCAAAAGUGAAAGACGGUCUUGCUGUCACUUAUAGAUGGAUCCGCGCUGCAUUAGCUAGUUGGUAAGGUAACGGCUUACCAAGGCAACGAUGCAUAGCCGACCUGAGAGGGUGAUCGGCCACACUGGAACUGAGACACGGUCCGGACUCCUACGGGAGGCAGCAGUAGGGAAUCUUCCGCAAUGGGCGAAAGCCUGACGGAGCAACGCCGCGUGAGUGAUGAAGGUCUUCGGAUCGUAAAACUCUGUUAUUAGGGAAGAACAUAUGUGUAAGUAACUGUGCACAUCUUGACGGUACCUAAUCAGAAAGCCACGGCUAACUACGUG